rnacentral:misc_RNA from 1 species
GAAAUGCGAUAAGUAAUGUGAAUUGCAGAAUUCAGUGAAUCAUCGAAUCUUUGAACGCACAUUGCGCCCCCUGGCAUUCCGGGGGGCAUGCCUGUUCGAGCGUCAUUACACCACUCAAGCCUCGCUUGGUAUUGAGCGCCGCGAGCGACCCUGCCCGCGCGCUCUAAUGUCUCCCGGCUGAGCCGUCCGCCUCUAAGCGUUGUGGUCUACCAGUGCCGCUUGCGAGGUUCGGACGCGCUCGACGCCGUCGACCCCAUCUUCUUUUAAAGGUUGACCUCGGAUCAGGUAGGGAUACCCGCUGAACUUAAGC